rnacentral:rRNA from 1 species
GGAGUGUAAGUGUAGUGAUACAUUAAGCUGACUGGUACUAAUAGAUCGAGGGCUUGACCUUAAAG